UCGUUAUCAGCUGGAACCAGUCUGGCUGUUAUCCUCUGAUCUCUGGCAUCAACAAGGCCAAAUUUGCUCCCACAGAACUGAACUGCAGCUCACUGGAUAUUUUCUCUUUUUCAGAUCAUUCUCUGUAAACUCUAGAGAUGGUUUUGGGUGAAAAUCCCAGUAGAUCAGCAGUUUCUGAAAUACUCAGACCAACAACCAAUCACGCCACGUCUUGGCCGUGUCUACAUGCCUCAAUGCACUGAGUUGCUGACAUGUGAUUGGCUGAUUCAACAUUUGCGCUAAUGAGGUGCACCUAAUAAAGUGUCCGCUGAGUGUAUAUGUGUGUACAUAUAAAUAUAUAUGUUCUUUUUCUGUGGGGACAAGAUGGGUGUUAGUGUUUAACAUGUUCACACCCACACUCAGAAAAUGCAGAAAUAGUUUACUCUGUGGUCAUUUCCUGUCUUUACUUUCUGCUAUAUUUUAUUCUUCUACCAUCUCAUAUAUCACCCACUGAGACGCUUUCAUCAGGGUCUUUAGAUUUGAUGAAGUAAAAUCUGAGUGUAAUUUGAUCUCGUCUGAUUGCACAUUAAUGGGAGGUGUUUUAGAGUAAUGGAUAUUUCACUGUGCGGUUUAUAUUUAGAGGCUGGCUGAUUGGUUACACUUACCCUCCUCUGCAGAAUAAAGGAAGUUUCUGUGGUCGGUCUCUGUCUCUGUUUUCUGUGGUAUUUUAGUUCUCAUCUCUUUUUCUCUUGUCUGUUUCUCACGCUGGUCUGAUGGUGAUGGAGGGUUCUGGGUUCCUCUGGGUUCUCCUGCUGUGUGGACGGGUUCUGCUGGCCAGUAGUGAGUUUCAGUGUGUGAGUGUGAAAGAGAGAGAACGUGCAACUCUUCCCUGUGGAAAACUCACUAAAGGUAAAGUGACCUGGAGCAGAGAAAUCAAUGGACAGAGAGAGAGCAUUCUGACCACUCACGACGGAGAGAUAACCAGACACAUCUCUGAUCCAGACAGACAUUACAGUUCAGGAGCUAAUAUAGUACUGAUUAUACGGAAAGUCUCUCAGUCAGAUGCUGGAAGAUACUACUGUAAUGGAUUUACAGUGGAACUGAUCGUGAAUGGAAUCUGUAAGUGUGAAAAUAAAGCGUUAUUUCUCAAUAAUUAACAAUUCAUAUGCUGUUUAAGUUACUAACAUACUUUAUAAGGCUGAGCAUUAAAGCAAAUCCAUGUAUCAUA
rnacentral:lncRNA from 1 species